UACAGAGGGUGCAAGCGUUAAUCGGAAUUACUGGGCGUAAAGCGUGCGUAGACGGUUGCGUAAGUCAGAUGUGAAAGCCCCGGGCUCAACCUGGGAAUUGCAUUUGAGACUGCGUAGCUAGGGUGCGGAAGAGGGAAGCGGAAUUUCCGGUGUAGCGGUGAAAUGCGUAGAUAUCGGAAGGAACACCGGUGGCGAAGGCGGCAUUCUGGACCGAUAUUGACGCUGAGGAGCGAAAGCGUGGGGAGCGAACAGG
rnacentral:rRNA from 1 species